rnacentral:lncRNA from 1 species
CUAGGAGAACCGAAAACAGUUCUAGACUGACCUGCGGUUUUAUAGCACUUUGGCAGUCAACUUCAGCUUGUGUCAGAGCAGACACGACUGAGCUGCCCGACGGUUAAUCGCGGGACGCCACCUACUUGGACCCACUGCAGUCUCCCCUCCUCUUGCAUUAAAUAAAUCUCAACCCUUUGGGCACAGGAGUGGGGAACGAGGCUGGCAAAGG